CUACUUGCAGUCCAAGGGACUCUGAAGAGUCUUCAACACCACAGUUCAAAAGCAUCAAUUCUUCAGUGCUCAGCUUUCUUUAUGGUCCAACUCUCACAUCUAUUACUACUGAAAAAAACGUCUCUCACUGUUUCCAUUGUUUCCCCAUCAAUUUGCAAUGAGAAAUGCAGUACUUGGAUGCAAUCUCAAAAAUGACAGAAUGAUCACUGUUCAUUUCCAAGGCAAACCAUUCAAUACCAUGGUAAUCCAAGCCUAUACUCCAACCAGUAAAGAAGCUGGAAUGGAACGGUUCUAUGAAGACCUACAAGGCCUUUUAGAACUAACACCCAAAAAAGAUGUCCUUUUCAUUAUAGGGGACUGAAAUGCAAAAGUAGAAAGUCAAGAAAUACCUGGAAUAACAGUCAAAUUUGGCCUUGAAGUAUAGAAUGAAGCAGGGCAAAGGUUAAUAGAGCUUUGCAAAGAGAACACACUGGUCAUAGCAAACACCCUCUUCCAACAACACAGAAGAAGACUCCACACAUGGACAUCACCAGAUGGUCAACACCGAAAUCAUAUUGAUUAUAUUCUUUGCAGCCAAAGAUGGAGAAGCUCUAUACAGGUAGCAAAAACAAGACUUGGAGCUGACUGUGGCUCAGAUCAUGAACUCCUUAAUUCCAAAUAAAGAUUUAAAUUGAAGAAAGUAGGGAAAACCAAUAGACCAUUCACGUAUGACCUAAAUCAAAUCCCUUAUGAUUAUACAGUGGAAGUGAGAAAUAGAUUUAAGAGACUAGAUCUGAUAGAUGGAGGGCCUGAUGAACUAUGGAUGGAGGUUCGUGACAUUGUACAUGAGACAGGGAUCAAGACCAUUCCCAUGGAAAAGAAAUGCAAAAAAGCAAAAUGGCUGUCUGGGGAGGCCUUACAAACAGCUGUGAAAAGAAGAGAAGUGAAAAGCAAAGGAGAAAAGGAAAGAUAUAAGCAUCUGAAUGCAGAAUUCCAAAGUAUAGCAAGGAGAGAUAAGAAAGCCUUCCUCAGCGAUCAAUGCAAAGAAAUAGAGGGAAACAACAGAAUGGGAAAGACUAGAGAUCUCUUCAAAAAAAUUAGAGAUACCAAGGGAACAUUUCAUGCAAAGAUGAGCUUGACGAAGGACAGAAAUGGUAUGGACCUAACAGAAGCAGAAGAUACUAAGAAGAGGUGGCAAGAAUACACAGAGAAACUGUACAAAAAAGAUCUUCACAACCCAAAUAAUCACAAUGGUGUGAUCACUGACCUAGAGCCAGACAUCCUGGAAUGUGAAGUGAAGUCGGCCUUAGAAAGCAUCACUAUGAACAAAGCUAGUGGAGAUGAUGGAAUUCCAGUUGAGCUAUUUCCAAUCCUGAAGGAUGAUGCUGUGAAAGUGCUGCACUCAAUAUGCCAGCAAAUUUGGAAAACUCAGCAGUGGCCACAAGACUGGAAAAGCUCAGUUUUCAUUCCAAUCCCAAAGAAGACAAUGCCAAAGAAUGCUCAAACUACCGCACAAUUGCACUCAUCUCACACACUAGUAAAGUAAUGCUCAAAAUCUCCAAGCCAGGCUUCAGCAGUAUGUGAACCAUGAACUUUCAGAUGUUCAAGCUGGUUUUAAAAAAGGCAGAAGAACCAGAGAUCAAAUUGCCAACAUCCACUGGAUCACUGAAAAAACAAGAGAGUUCCAGAAAAACAUCAACUUCUGCUUUAUUGAUAUGCCAAAGCCUUUGACUAUGUGGAUCACAAUAAACUGUGGAAAAUUCUGAAAGAGAUAGGAAUACCAGACCACCUGACCUGCCUCUUGAGAAACCUAUAUGCAGGUCAGGAAGCAACAGUUAUAACUGGACAUGGAACAACAUACUGGUUCCAAAUAUGAAAAGAAGUAUGUCAAGGCUGUAUACUGUCACCCUGCUUAUUUAACUUCUAUGCAGAGUACAUCAUGAGAAACACGGGGCUGGAAGAACCACAAGCUGGAAUCAAGAUUGCCAGGAGAAAUAUCAAUAACCUCAGAUAUGCAGAUGACACCACCCUUAUGGCAAAAAGUGAAGAGGAACUAAAAAGCUUCUUGAAGAAAGUAAAAGAGGAGAGUGAAAAAGUUGGCUUAAAACUCAACAUUCAGAAAACCAAGAUCAUGGCAUCUGGUCCCAUCACUUCAUGGGAAAUAGAUGGGGAAACAGUGACAACAGUGUCAGACUUUAUUUUUCUGGGCUCCAAAAUCACUGCAGAUGGUGAUUGCUUACUCCUUGGAAGGAUAGUUAUGACCAGCCUAGAUAGCAUAUUGGAAAGCAGAGGUAUUACCUUGCCAACAAAGGUCCAUCUAGUCAAGGUUAUAUUUUUUCCAGUGGUCAUGUAUGGAUGUGAGAAUUGGACUGUGAAGAAAGCUGAGCGCUGAAGAAUCGAUGCUUUUGAACUGUGGUGUUGGAGAAGACUCUUCAGAAUCCCUUGGACUUCAAGGAGAUCCAAUCAGUCCAUCUAAAGGAGAUCAGUCCUGGGUUUUCAUUGGAAGAACUGGUGCUAAGACUGAAACUCCAAUACUUGGCCACUCAUGAGAAGAGUUGACUCAUUGGAAAAGACCCUGAUGCUGGGAGGGAUUUAGGGCAGGAGGAGAAGGGGAUGACAGACAAUGAGAUCCUGGAUGGCAUCACCGACUCGAUGGACAUGAAUUUGGGUGAACUCCUGGAGUAGUGGUGGGCUGGGGGGCCUGCCGUGCUGGGAUUCAUGGGGUCGCAAAGAGUCAGACACGACUGAGCAAUGGAAUGGAACUCAAGGACCUGACAAGAGCCUAAAGAAGAAAUGAUUGAUUAAAUUAUGUUUGGUUGUGAAACAAUACCUAUGUGUGAUAUUAUUUAAAAAAUAAUAACAACAAUUCUGAAUUAGAGAAUGUUUUGCUUAAUAGCAAGAAAUUUGUAGGCAUUAUAUAUAGUUUUGAACACUAAUGUCCAUCUUUAAACACUGCUCUUUUCUCACAAACCAACUUCUAAAACCUCCUGGUCCACAGUUUCUGCUUAUAAAAUGUGUGGAAUGAUGGAUAUUAAUAUAUGCAUAAACUCCUUAACACAGUACUUGUCCUAAGAAUUUAGUACUAAGAGUUUGCCCUUACACAGAGCACUGCACAUACACACACACAUUUAUGCAUGAAUAAGACAUUGGAG
ensembl:lncRNA